GAUGAACGCUGGCGGCGUGCCUAAUACAUGCAAGUCGAGCGAACAGACGAGGAGCUUGCUCCUCUGACGUUAGCGGCGGACGGGUGAGUAACACGUGGAUGACCUACCUAUAAGACUGGGAUAACUUCGGGAAACCGGAGCUAAUACCGGAUAAUAUAUUGAACCGCAUGGUUCAAUAGUGAAAGACGGUUUUGCUGUCACUUAUAGAUGGAUCCGCGCCGCAUUAGCUAGUUGGUAAGGUAACAGCUUACCAAGGCAACGAUGCGUAGCCGACCUGAGAGGGUGAUCGGCCACACUGGAACUGAGCCACGGUCCAGACUCCUACGGGAGGCAGCAGUAGGGAAUCUUCCGCAAUGGGCGAAAGCCUGACGGAGCAACGCCGCGUGAGUGAUGAAGGUCUUCGGAUCGUAAAACUCUGUUAUUAGGGAAGAACAAAUGUGUAAGUAACUAUGCACGUCUUGACGGUACCUAAUCAGAAAGCCACGGCUAACUACGUG
rnacentral:rRNA from 1 species